rnacentral:RNase_P_RNA from 1 species
UCAGAUGGCCGGAUGGCCGCCGCAGGCGCUCAGGCGCCGGUGGAGGAAAGUCCGGGCUCCACGGAAACACGGUGCCGGAUAACGUCCGGCGAGGGCGACCUCAGGGAAAGUGCCACAGAAAGGAAACCGCCUGACGGGGUGAGACUUUCGGGUUUCAUCCACAGGUAAGGGUGAAAGGGUGCGGUAAGAGCGCACCGCGCGUCCGGUAACGGAGGCGGCAUGGCAAACCCCACCGGGAGCAAAACCAAAUAGGGGCGCGGCGUCUUCGCAAGAAGGCAACUCCGUUUCCGGAAGCGCGCCCGGGUUGGUUGCACGAGGCGGCUGGCAACAGCCGUCCCAGAUGAAUGGCCAUCGGCUGCGCCGGUCUUGCGGCUGGCGUGGACCACAGAACCCGGCUUACAGGCCGUCUGACCCC